rnacentral:rRNA from 1 species
GAUUUCUGACUUGGUGCACCUGGCCCGCCACGGUUACGUGUGUGAGUGCCGGGAUGUGCCUGUCACUUUUCUGGUAAACUAUUUUGCUCUUCAUUGGGUGGGAUAGGUAGCCAGAUAUUUUACUUUGAAAAAAUUAGAGUGUUUAAAGCAGGCGUUUGCUAUGAAUACAUUAGCAUGGAAUAAUAAGUUAGGACUUCGGUUCUAUUUUGUUGGUUUCUAGGACUGAAGUAAUGAUUGAUAGGGAUAGUUGGGGGUGCUAGUAUUCAGCGGCCAGAGGUGAAAUUCUCGGAUUCGCUGAAGACUAACUUAUGCGAAAGCAUU